GAACCAGUACCGUGAGGGAAAGGCGAAAAGAACCCCGGCGAGGGGAGUGAAAAAGAACCUGAAACCGUGUACGUACAAGCAGUGGGAGCCCCACCACUAAGCCAGUGGUGAACUCCACAUACGCAUCCUUUGCUGAGGAUACGGUUAACGGAGCGAAAGCGACGUUCAACCGCAAAAGAAGCAGAGGGGGCUUAGUGGUGGGGUGACUGCGUACCUUUUGUAUAAUGGGUCAGCGACUUAUAUUCUGUAGCAAGGUUAACCGAAUAGGGGAGCCGGAGGGA
rnacentral:rRNA from 1 species